AAACUUUCAACAACGGAUCUCUUGGNUCUGGCAUCGAUGAAGAACGCAGCGAAAUGCGAUAAGUAAUGUGAAUUGCAGAAUUCAGUGAAUCAUCGAAUCUUU
rnacentral:rRNA from 1 species